UACGGGGGGGGCAAGCGUUGUUCGGAAUUACUGGGCGUAAAGGGCUCGUAGGCGGCCAACUAAGUCAUACGUGAAAUCCCUCGGCUUAACCGGGGAACUGCGUCUGAUACUGGAUGGCUUGAGUUCGGGAGAGGGAUGCGGAAUUCCAGGUGUAGCGGUGAGAUGCGUAGAUAUCUGGAGGAACACCGGUGGCGAAGGCGGCAUCCUGGACCGAUACUGACGCUGAGGAGCGAAAGCCAGGGGAGCGAUCCGG
rnacentral:rRNA from 1 species